AGUGGAGAGGGAAGCUUGGGCGACAAGAGUGGGCAGAGUAUUGGGAAUGACGAAGAAACAUUUAGGCGCUAUGCAUAAUACACGACCGCUUCUUCAAGUCAACAACAUUCUCACGUGCCAUCUCCCUUUUCUUUUUUACUUUUACUUUUUACUUCUUUUUUAUCACUUGUAUUAAUAAUAAGAAUCAUAAAAAACAAAAAUGACGCGGUAUCGUCAUGAUACUGUCAUGAUUACAUGGUUUAAAAAGAUGACGUUAUCGCUGGCGUCUCUUGACUUUGU